UUAUUAGAGCACUAAAGAAAAGGGUUUUAUACGAAGUUAUGUGUGGAUAAGGUUGUUAGCUCAGAAUGACCUCUAGUGGUUAAUGGUGGCAUUGUGCUUUGUUGGGUCAAUGAACUUCCAAUCGUUGUGGAAUAUUUUUUUCCAAAUGAUAUAGUGAUACCCACUUUUGCUUUCUGGUUCACGUUUGGAGUGUUUUAGUAAAGCAACUUGCGAGCGAGUACCUCAUCAUCUUGUUAUGGUAUUUGAUCCUUGAUAAUGUAGGUAUCCUGUAUGGCAAUUUAAGUCAUUGGUUAUAUUGAAUUGACUCAGCAGUGGUGGUGACAGUGUUCAUAAUUCAGGUUCAGCGGAAAUAAUUGAAACGAAUCAACAUAAUUUGUUUUCGAAUCAACACAAUUUGAUUUUUUUAGUUCAUUUUGGUUUUUAGUUUUAGGAAUUUGAGUUAUUUUAGUUUGGUUUGGUUUUUAUAUUUCUUAUAAUUUUAUUUUCAAUUUCUCUGUAUGGAUGAGUUUAUAAACGCUCCUAGCGGUGACUGACUGGUGAGCAUCGGCUGGAACUGGGUGGUCCACACUUUGUGGGCCAGACUAGGUGUGCCCCGUAAAACAUGUGGGGCCGGUUCAAAAAAACAAAAAAGGAACACAAAGCGCAAUGAUUGAGCGAUUAUGUUCGGCCAUUUUGAGUCUUCCUGGCUUGGGGCGCUGAAGUGGCCAGCAUAGAAUGAGGUGAGGUGACUGAAUUUUCGCUCGAUUAAAGUUGCUGCUACUGCCUAAUUGUUUAUGUUGCUUUUCAGGAUGCACUAAGGACUAUGGACUCUUUAAUAACAAAAGCUUACAAUGUUUUAGUUGAAUAAUAAACAGAGAAUAAUCUUGUAGUAAGUUUCGUACUAUUUCUGAAGGGCAAGAAGAAGAGCCUGUAAUCAGACUGAUAGUGUUAAUCAUUGAAAGCAGAGUUUGAAUUUUUGAUAAUAAUAAUUGAAUACUUUGCAGACAAGCUA
rnacentral:misc_RNA from 1 species